GCCCUGGUGAUCUAGUGGUUAAGAUUCAGCACUCUCACCGCUGCGACACUGGUUCAAUUCCAGGUCAGGGAA
rnacentral:tRNA from 1 species